GUGUCAGUGUUGGAGAAGCCUCCAGGCCUGGCAGACAGAGCACACUGCAGGGCAUUGGGGCUUCCUUCGCAUGGCACAU